rnacentral:rRNA from 1 species
CCUACGGGAUGCAGCAGUGGGGAAUAUUGCACAAUGGGGGAAACCCUGAUGCAGCAACGCCGCGUGAGUGAUGACGGCCUUCGGGUUGUAAAGCUCUGUCUUCAGGGACGAUAAUGACGGUACCUGAGGAGGAAGCUACGGCUAACUACGUGACAGCAGCCGCGGUAAUACGUAGGUGGCGAGCGUUGUCCGGAUUUACUGGGCGUAAAGGGGGCGGAGGCGGACUUUUAAGUGAGAUGUGAAAUACUCGGGCUAAAAUUGAGUGCUGAAGUUCAAACGGGGAGUAUAGAGUGCAGGAGAGGAGAAUGGAAUUCCUAGUGUAGCGGUGAAAUGCGUAGAGAUUAGGAAGAACACCAGUGGCGAAGGCGAUUCUCUGGACUGUAACUGACGCUGAGGCUCGAAAGCGUGGGGAGCAAACAGGAUUAGAUACCCGUGUAGUC